GUUAUAUGUUGCAGCAGCAAAGUUAAGUAGAGCCAGGCUGAAGUUCGCCCCAUUGGAUGUCAAGGUUGAGAAAUUUACAUUUGGUGGCCUCAUCAACCUCAUGUGGGCUCUAAAUUAGAGCUGAAGCAUUGUGUCUGUCAUUAACUGCUUAUGUGACUAAGUCUAUGAAGGAAGCCAGAAUGUCACCCCAAAGUGUCUCUUUGACAUAAAAAUUAGUUUGAAUUGAAGGCAAUUAAGAAGAAAAUCCAGAAAAAGCUUUCCCUUUUCUGCUUAAAGAGUGAAAGCACCGGUUUGAAUUCCUACCAUCACUGUUAGGAGGAUUCCCCUUUCUUCACAUCCUCACCAGCACCUGUUGUUUCUCGUAUUGUUGAUUUUAGCCAUUCU